CCCUUAGAUGUCCUGGGCCGCACGCGCGUUACACUGAUGCAUUCAACGAGCUUAUAACCUUGGCCGAGAGGCCUGGGCAAUCUUGUUAACGUGCAUCGUGAUAGGGAUAGAUUAUUGAAAUUAUUAAUCUUGAACGAGGAAUUCCUAGUAAGCGCAAGUCAACAGCUUGCGUUGAUUACGUCCCUGCCCUUUGUACACACCGCCCGUCGCUACUACUGAUUGGAUGUUUAAGCGAGGUUCUCGAACUGCUAGCGACUUAGCUUCGGUGAGGUCGCAGUGUGGGAAGUGAACCGAGCUUUGGUGUCUAGAGGAAGUAAAAGUCGUAACA
rnacentral:rRNA from 1 species